rnacentral:rRNA from 1 species
GUCGAACGGGAAUCUUCGGAUUCUAGUGGCGGACGGGUGAGUAACGCGUAAGAAUCUAACUUCAGGACGGGGACAACAGUUGGAAACGACUGCUAAUACCCGAUGUGCCGCAAGGUGAAACCUAAUUGGCCUGAAGAAGAGCUUGCGUCUGAUUAGCUAGUUGGUGGGGUAAAGGCCUACCAAGGCGACGAUCAGUAGCUGGUCUGAGAGGAUGAGCAGCCACACUGGGACUGAGACACGGCCCAGACUCCUACGGGAGGCAGCAGUGGGGAAUUUUCCGCAAUGGGCGAAAGCCUGACGGAGCAACGCCGCGUGAGGGAGGAAGGUCUUUGGAUUGUAAACCUCUUUUCUCAAGGAAGAAGUUCUGACGGUACUUGAGGAAUCAGCCUCGGCUAACUCCGUGCCAGCAGCCGCGGUAAUACGGGGGAGGCAAGCGUUAUCCGGAAUUAUUGGGCGUAAAGCGUCCGCAGGUGGUCAGCCAAGUCUGCUGUCAAAUCAGGUUGCUUAACGACCUAAAGGCGGUGGAAACUGGCAGACUAGAGAGCAGUAGGGGUAGCAGGAAUUCCCAGUGUAGCGGUGAAAUGCGUAGAGAUUGGGAAGAACAUCGGUGGCGAAAGCGUGCUACUGGGCUGUAUCUGACACUCAGGGACGAAAGCUAGGGGAGCGAAAAGGAUUAGAUACCCCUGUAGUCCUAGCCGUAAACGAUGGAUACUAGGCGUGGCUUGUAUCGACCCGAGCCGUGCCGAAGCUAACGCGUUAA